rnacentral:rRNA from 1 species
UACGUAGGGUGCAAGCGUUAAUCGGAAUUACUGGGCGUAAAGCGUGCGCAGGCGGUGAUGUAAGACAGUUGUGAAAUCCCCGGGCUCAACCUGGGAACUGCAUCUGUGACUGCAUCGCUGGAGUGCGGCAGAGGGGGGAUGGAAUUCCGCGUGUAGCAGUGAAAUGCGUAGAUAUGCGGAGGAACACCGAUGGCGAAGGCAAUCCCCUGGGCCUGCACUGACGCUCAUGCACGAAAGCGUGGGGAGCAAACAGGA